rnacentral:tRNA from 1 species
GCGCCAGUGUCGUUGAACGGUUAAACAGCUCUCUGCAAAAGAGUAACAUGCAGGUUCGAUUCCUGUCUGGCGCUCCA